rnacentral:sRNA from 1 species
AUGGCAAGAUUGAAAA